ACGGCCGCAAGGUUAAAACUCAAAUGAAUUGACGGGGGCCCGCACAAGCGGUGGAGCAUGUGGUUUAAUUCGAUGCAACGCGAAGAACCUUACCUGGUCUUGACAUCCACGGAAGUUUUCAGAGAUGAGAAUGUGCCUUCGGGAACCGUGAGACAGGUGCUGCAUGGCUGUCGUCAGCUCGUGUUGUGAAAUGUUGGGUUAAGUCCCGCAACGAGCGCAACCCUUAUCCUUUGUUGCCAGCGGUCCGGCCGGGAACUCAAAGGAGACUGCCAGUGAUAAACUGGAGGAAGGUGGGGAUGACGUCAAGUCAUCAUGGCCCUUACGACCAGGGCUACACACGUGCUACAAUGGCGCAUACAAAGAGAAGCGACCUCGCGAGAGCAAGCGGACCUCAUAAAGUGCGUCGUAGUCCGGAUUGGAGUCUGCAACUCGACUCCAUGAAGUCGGAAUCGCUAGUAAUCGUGGAUCAGAAUGCCACGGUGAAUACGUUCCCGGGCCUUGUACACACCGCCCGUCACACCAUGGGAGUGGGUUGCAAAAGAAGUAGGUAGCUUAACCUUCGGG
rnacentral:rRNA from 2 species